AUUGUUUUUUGGCCUUUUGGCUAUUCUUAUCAGUUUAAUAUCUGCUACGUCCUCUAUCUGAGGAGAAUAUAGUAAAUUGAUUUUUGGAGCUUGGAGUUGGAAUAGGAGCUUGCUCUGUCCACUCCAUGCAUCGACCUGGUGUUGCAGUACCUCUAGGAAUGGUGCACCCCCU
rnacentral:snRNA from 1 species